AGUGAACGCUGGCGGUAGGCCUAACACAUGCAAGUCGAACGGCAGCACAGUAAGAGCUUGCUCUUACGGGUGGCGAGUGGCGGACGGGUGAGGAAUACAUCGGAAUCUACUUUUUCGUGGGGGAUAACGUAGGGAAACUUACGCUCAUACCGCAUACGACCUACGGGUGAAAGCAGGGGAUCUUCGGACCUUGCGCGAUUGAAUGAGCCGAUGUCGGAUUAGCUAGUUGGCGGGGUAAAGGCCCACCAAGGCGACGAUCCGUAGCUGGUCUGAGAGGAUGAUCAGCGACACUGGAACUGAGACACGGUCCAGACGCCUACGGGAGGCAGCAGUGGGGAAUAUUGGACAAUGGGCGCAAGCCUGAUCCAGCCAUACCGCGUGGGUGAAGAAGGCCUUCGGGUUGUAAAGCCCUUUUGUUGGGAAAGAAAAGCAGCAGGUUAAUACCCCGCUGUUCUGACGGUACCCAAAGAAUAAGCACCGGCUAACUUCGUG
rnacentral:rRNA from 1 species